rnacentral:lncRNA from 1 species
AUGCAGCUGUUGCCUUUGGGGAGGAGACUGAGGCACAGAGAGGCAGAAUCCCCCCAAAAGAAAUUUCCUUCAGGAAGAUGUCACCAUGCCCAGCGCCCUUUGAACACAAGGAACUCAGCGGGAGAGGAGGUGACGUGCCAAUCACUAGGAUGUCAGCGUCCACUUGUCCAUCAGAGGCUCCUGCAUCCCAGUCACGCAAGUAUCCGUUCACGUAGUCAUUUGUUCUGCAUUUGCUCAAGCACGUCAAGCCGCCGGCUUCCUGGCCAAGUGUGGGAGAGACGAGGGGAGAGACCUGGGCUCUCGUAAGUGGCACUAAGAGGACACAAGGCACAAGUGGGAGGAGAAUAGAAGACGGGGAUCUAAGGAAGGGAGCGUGGGCAACAUUUAAUUAAAUUGUGAAUACGUUUCAAGCUUUCUUUUCUUUACAAUGAGGCUCUGCCUGAUUGAAUUUCAGAACCUUGGAGUUUCUGUUCAAAAUGCCUUCCAAAAUUAGCACUGGGCCUCUGCAGCAUCCCCUGAGGUGCCCCAGGGCACUGCACCUCCCCUCCUCGGGCACCUGCUUCCUGGGGGCUCUCUCAUCCUGGAGGGGGUGGGAGUUACCAGACAGGGCUCUGACCCCAGCUCUUUCUGGAGGGAGCUAGGUGGCUCUGGAAAGUGGUCACUCCCUGGGUCUCCAUUUAUCCCCGGUGAAAUUAGCAGGAAAGUGGAGCUGGGAUUUGGGGGGAAAGCCUGAAUAUCCUUUGACGGCUCUGAAAGGGAGGGCAUUGUUGUGACAAGGCCAGGCCUGUGAGCCUCUGAGCCCAUAACCACUGCUCCUCAUCCGUUUGACUCUCCCAGUGCUUUCUCAUCUAUUCUGUGAAAUCUUUACUUCUUCCCUUCAAGACCAUUCUGGUCUGGAGCUCCUGUUGCGGCACAGCGGGUUAAGAACUCGACUAGUAUCCAUGAUGAUCCCGGUUUGAAACCUGCUCUCGCUCAGUGGGUUGGGAUUCCGGCGUUGCUGUGGCCGUGGUGUAGGUCACAGAUGCGGCUGUGUUCGACCCUUAGCCCGGGAACUUCCACAUGCUCUAGGUGUGGCCCUAAAAAGAAAGAAAAAAAAUGACCUUUCUGUUCUAAGAAAAGUGAAGUUUUAGAGGAGGUUUGAGGCUUCCCAGAAGCCUCAGAAUAAGUCAGUGUAGAAACUAGAAAUCAGACCCAGGACCCUGGGCCAGGGAUCCAAUCAUUCCUUGCUUCCUUCUUUCCAUACCUUCUGGGUACCAGGUGCACAGCAAUAAACUGGGCCUGGUGCCUGCUGGCA